rnacentral:rRNA from 1 species
UUAGCCUACGGGAGGCAGCAGUGAGGAAUAUUGGUCAAUGGUCGGGAGACUGAACCAGCCAAGCCGCGUGAGGGAUGAAGGUACAGAGUAUCGUAAACCUCUUUUGUCAGGGAACAAAGGCGGGGACGUGUCCCCGGAUGAGUGUACCUGAAGAAAAAGCAUCGGCUAACUCCGUGCCAGCAGCCGCGGUAAUACGGAGGAUGCGGGGGGUAUCCGGAUUUAUUGGGGUUAAAGGGUGCGCAGGCGGUCUGUUAAGGC